CGUAGGUGGCAAGCGUUGUCCGGAAUUACUGGGUGUAAAGGGCGUGUAGGCGGGUUAUUAAGUCAGAUGUGAAAUUCUGGGGCUCAACCCCGGCGCUGCAUCUGAAACUGGUAAUCUUGAGUGCUGGAGAGGAAAGCGGAAUUCCUAGUGUAGCGGUGAAAUGCGUAGAUAUUAGGAGGAACACCAGUGGCGAAGGCGGCUUUCUGGACAGUAACUGACGCUGAGGCGCGAAAGCGUGGGAGCAAACAGGAUU
rnacentral:rRNA from 1 species